UUGUGAAUGUCUGCCUGCGCA
rnacentral:siRNA from 1 species